UGACUCAGGAGAGGCGGCA
rnacentral:misc_RNA from 1 species